GCGGCUAUCGUCUAGUGGUUUAGGAUCUCACCUUCCCAUUUACUAGGGAUGGCGGGCGUAAGCCCGGUUCUAGGUGAGGACACGAGUUCGAACCUCGUUGGUCGCA